rnacentral:lncRNA from 1 species
UUUCAAUAGGUUAAAUUAAUUCAAUUGAGUUGAAGCCACAUCCUUUUUUUUUUGUUUUUCAACAGUUCCAGUGUAGCAAUUCAACAGUUGAAAAUUUUAUUCAAUUGUCUCAUUGUAAGAAGUCUAAAUUUUUUUUACACAUUCUAUUUUUUCCUCUCAAAUGGCUACAACAAAAAUGUAGGGUUUCUUAUUCUAAAAUUCUCCAACCUCUCUCUAAUCUCUUUGAACCUAAAAACACCAAAUUUUAUAUCAAUUUUUCAUUUUUAUGUCAUGUCUUUCUCACUGAUUUAUUUUGUUUUUGCAGGUUUUUCAUUUCAAGUAGAUUUAAAAAUUAUAUUUUUUAUUUGGUAACCUCUUGUUGCUUAAUAAUCUUACCUUUUGAAAAUUCUUUUGGUUGUUU